rnacentral:rRNA from 1 species
CUAACACAUGCAAGUCGAACGAGAAGCCACCUUCGGGUGGUGGAAAGUGGAGACGGGUGAGUAACACGUGGGAACGUACCCUUUGGUUCGGGACAACUCGGGAAACUGGAGCUAAUACCGGAUGAGCCCUACGGGGGAAAGAUUUAUCCCGAAGGAUCGGCCCGCGUCUGAUUAGCUUGUUGGUGGGGUAAGGGGCCCCAAGGCUACGAUCAGUAGCUGGUCUGAGAGGAUGAUCAGCCACACUGGGACUGAGACACGGCCCAUACUCCUACGGGAGGCAGCAGUGGGGAAUAUUGACAAUGGGCGCAAGCCUGAUCCAGCCAUGCCGGGUGAGUGAUGAAGGCUUACGGUUGUAAACGCCGUUCGCGCGCGACGAUAAUGACGGGAGCGCGAAAGAAGC